UCCGGUUUGUCACCGGCAGUCUGGCGUGAGUCCCCAACUAAAUGCUGGCAACACGCCACGGGGGUUGCGCUCGUUGCGGGACUUAACCCAACAUCUCACGACACGAGCUGGCGACAGCCAUGCACCACCUGUAUACCGACAAAAAGGGGCCAUAUCUCUAUGGCUUUCCGGCAUAUGUCAAACCCAGGUAAGGUUCUUCGCGUUGCAUCGAAUUAAUCCGCAUGCUCCGCCGCUUGUGCAGGCCCCCGUCAAUUCCUUUGAGUUUUAGCCUUGCGGCCGUACUCCCCAGGCGGGGCGCUUAAUGCGUUAGCUACGGCACGGACAACGUGGAUGUCGCCCACACCUAGCGCCCAACGUUUACAGCGUGGACUAC
rnacentral:misc_RNA from 1 species